UACGUAGGGCGCAAGCGUUGUCCGGAAUCAUUGGGCGUAGAGAGCUCGUAGGUGGUCUGUUACGUCUGCUGUGAAAUCCUAGGGCUUAACCCUGGGCCUGCAGUGGAUACGGGCAGACUAGAGGUAGGUAGGGGAGAAUGGAAUUCCCGGUGUAGCGGUGAAAUGCGCAGAUAUCGGGAGGAACACCGGUGGCGAAGGCGGUUCUCUGGAACGGUACUGACGCUGAGACGCGAAAGCGUGGGGAGCGAACAGG
rnacentral:rRNA from 1 species